CUUCAGGUAGGCUUUGCAACAUACCUAACUAGCUUUAGUUAGAGCAUGUGGACAGGUUUCAGUUCAACAUAAAGUUGUGAUUACAUCAGUUUGCCUGCUUGAUCCCAGUCACUGUUCUUUCAACCCAUUCUCUCUCCUCCCAAACUUAAACCCAUAAUUUAGACCAACUCGACAUUGCUGGCCAUGAGAACUCCAAGUAUAAAAACACCUAGACCACACUAACAACAGUCGAUAGUGCAAAAGUCUUAAGGAUGAAGUCAGUCACAUUUAGAGUACUUUUUAAUUUGCAUCACAAAUAACAUCCAAAUACAAAGUUCAAAAUGCCAGAAUUUAGUCUGAAGUCACAUGAAAAACACAUUCAAUACUUUACAUCUCAGGGAGGAAAUAACUCAUGCCUUUCCCAGCAGGCCUCCUGUCUGGAGCAACUAUGGAACAUUCAAAUGUAAAGUGCUAAUACAAAAUGGUGAAGCUCAAACUUUAACUUUACAAUAAAAAUCAACAU